rnacentral:rRNA from 1 species
CGUAAUGAUGGCCAGGCUGUCUCCACCCGAGACUCAGUGAAAUUGAACUCGCUGUGAAGAUGCAGUGUACCCGCGGCAAGACGGAAAGACCCCGUGAACCUUUACUAUAGCUUGACACUGAACAUUGAGCCUUGAUGUGUAGGAUAGGUGGGAGGCUUUGAAGUGUGGACGCCAGUCUGCAUGGAGCCGACCUUGAAAUACCACCCUUUAAUGUUUGAUGUUCUAACGUUGACCCGUAAUCCGGGUUGCGGACAGUGUCUGGUGGGUAGUUUGACUGGGGCGGUCUCCUCCUAAAGAGUAACGGAGGAGCACGAAGGUUGGCUAAUCCUGGUCGGACAUCAGGAGGUUAGUGCAAUGGCAUAAGCCAGCUUGACUGCGAGCGUGACGGCGCGAGCAGGUGCGAAAGCAGGUCAUAGUGAUCCGGUGGUUCUGAAUGGAAGGGCCAUCGCUCAACGGAUAAAAGGUACUCCGGGGAUAACAGGCUGAUACCGCCCAAGAGUUCAUAUCGACGGCGGUGUUUGGCACCUCGAUGUCGGCUCAUCACAUCCUGGGGCUGAAGUAGGUCCCAAGGGUAUGGCUGUUCGCCAUUUAAAGUGGUACGCGAGCUGGGUUUAGAACGUCGUGAGACAGUUCGGUCCCUAUCUGCCGUGGGCGCUGGAGAACUGAGGGGGGCUGCUCCUAGUACGAGAGGACCGGAGUGGACGCAUCACUGGUGUUCGGGUUGUCAUGCCAAUGGCACUGCCCGGUAGCUAAAUGCGGAAGAGAUAAGUGCUGAAAGCAUCUAAGCACGAAACUUGCCCCGAGAUGAGUUCUCCCUGACUCCUUGAGAGUCCUGAAGGAACGUUGAAGACGACGACGUUGAUAGGCCGGGUGUGUAAGCGCAGCGAUGCGUUGAGCUAACCGGUACUAAUGAACCGUGAGGCUUAACCUUACAACGCCGAAGGUGUUU